rnacentral:rRNA from 1 species
UACGUAGGGGGCAAGCGUUGUCCGGAAUCAUUGGGCGUAAAGAGCGUGUAGGCGGCCCGGUAAGUCCGCUGUGAAAGUCCAGGGCUCAACCCUGGAAUGCCGAUGGAUACUGUCGAGCUAGAGUCCGGAAGAGGCGAGUGGAAUUCCUGGUGUAGCGGUGGAAUGCGCAGAUAUCAGGAGGAACACCAACGGCGAAGGCAGCUCGCUGGGACGGUACUGACGCUAAGGCGCGAAAGCGUGGGGAGCAAACAGG